GAAUUCUUAGCUCAGUCACUUGAGCAUGGCGCUAACAAGGCCAAGGACACGGGUUCGAUUCCCGUUGGGUCCC
rnacentral:tRNA from 1 species